rnacentral:rRNA from 1 species
UACGUAGGGGGCUAGCGUUGUCCGGAUUUAUUGGGCGUAAAGAGCGUGUAGGCGGCCAGGUAGGUCGGUUGUGAAAACUGGAGGCUCAACCUUCAGAGGUCGACCGAAACCAUCUGGCUAGAGUCCGGGAGAGGAGAGUGGAAUUCCUGGUGGUAGCGGUGAAAUGCGCAGAUAUCAGGAAGAACACCCGUGGCGAAAGCGGCUCUCUGGAACGGUACUGACGCUGAGACGCGAAAGCGUGGGGAGCGAACAGG